CUGAACACAAAAUGGCGACACGUGGUUAGCAUUCGUCGCCAACGAGAAAUUGGGGUCGGCCCGAAAGCUCUAGAAUGCACCCCUCUUCCUCCCCGGGGCCUUCCACCUCCGCGAGUUUUAUGACUUAAAAAAGCCCACAGGCUGGUCUGAAGACUUCCUAGCAUGGGCUGUUGUGCUGGAGAGAACGAGAGCUACGAAGAGACUACAGUGCCUCUGACUUUUUCAUAGGACAGUUGGCCGAGGAAGACAAACAUAAAGAUGAAGUGCUUAAUUCAAGGUCACACAAUGUCGGGGAUGGACCUCCAGAUUUCCUUACUGACCUGCAUUAUCUUGUGGAUACCUGAGUGAAUUCCACACCACCCAUUUUAUAGAUGAAACCACUGAGACAUGGAGCAAUUGACUGAGUAGUCACUGCCCCACCCCUGCCUGGAGCCUCACACAUGACUCGCCUCCUCUCAGUGACCACAGGUUGGUUGAGGGGUUUAACAAGGCUAAGAAGGUGAGACGUGGUCUUGUAACACAGUGGUUAAGAAUGUGACUUUGGAGCCAGCCUGCUAGGGGCUGAAUUCUGACUCAGCCAUUUACUAACUGUGUGACCUUAGGGAGGAGGACCUGGUUGAUAGAAGAAUUUAUCUCGUAGUCUUAACAUCCACUGUAAUUCCAAACUUUGAGGACGAUAGAGAUCAGUGGGCUUUGACUGCCCAGCAUGCAGUCUCCAUUCUUAGGUGGGUUCCCAAGCCUGUAAAAUGUAAGCCUUAUGCUGCUGAGGGCCAUCUUGCCACCCUGAGGGAAACGCUGCCUGAGAAUGAAACAAGCAUAAGUAAAAGCUGAGCUGUGAGAUGGAGCAAGAUGAAGGCCACAUGACAUCUUUGGAGCACCUGGAUCUAACUGUGCCUUAAGCUAGUCUAACCCUGAACAUUUCAUCAUUUCAUUGACAUGAGCCCAGGUUUUCUUUUUUUUUGGAUGGAGUCUUGCUCUGUCGCCCAGGCUGGAGUGCAGUAGCUCAAUCUCGGCUCACUGCAAGCUCCACCUCCCGGGUUCACGCCAUUCUCCUGCCUUAGCCUCCCAAGUAGCUGGGACAACAGGCGCCCACCACCACUCCCAGCUAAUUUUUUGUAUUUUUAGUAGAGACGGGGUUUUACCAUGUUAGCCGGGAUGGUCUUGAUCUCCUGACCUCAUGAUCCGCCCGCCUCGGCCUCCCAAAGUGCUGGGAUUACAGGUGUGAGCCACUGCACCCAGCCCUCAGGUUUUCCCUUUUUUUACCCCUCCUUUUGAAAAUUUGAUGUGGAAUUUUGCCACCUGCAGCCAGAAGAGUUUUAACUAAUCAGUGCCAUAAAUUUUAUAUAGUUCUCCUUGCAAAAUGUGGAUCAGCCUUUCUCAGCAAAUCCUUUGUCAUAAAGUGCUGAAUUGUAAGUUUGUCAUGAGAAUCACAUGAGAUCAUGCAUGUGAAGAACCUGGCAUUAUCCUCCUCAUAGAAAAAAACCAGUAAAUAUUAACUACAGGAAGCAAGGAAGGAGUGGGGUGAGGGGAAGAAGAAGGGGUACUGAUUUAAAAGAACCCUGGAGUCCUAAGGAUAAUCUAGGAACCCUCAGACCCAAUCCGAUACCCCUAUUCUAAAUGCUCCUAGUGCCCUGUACCUUCCCCUCAUAAGCCUUCAUUAUCAUUGUAAUGAUAUGUUUAUGUAAUAUUUUGAUUAAUGUCUCUCCUUCACUGACCUAGCAGUUCUAGCAGGGCAGUGAUUUUGCUGUGUUGCAUCCCCAGCACCUAGUCUGGUAUGUGGCAUUCAGCAUAUGUUUAUUGAAUGAAUGGCCAUGUGGUUAUUCAGAUCCUCCUUGAUUAUUGGGGUUAGGAUUGUGGCAGAAGUGGCAAAAUCAGGGAGAGUAGUCCCUGUCCCCUCUGUAUCUUAUACACUGCCCACACUCCCAACACACAUACACAUACAGAGAAUUUUGUCUCAAUUAGAUAAUUAACUUCUGCUUGGUUGUAAACCAAACCACUGGUUCUUAAACUUUCAUUGGAUCAUUUUAUUGAAGAAUUAAAUAGUGUGGUUCUGGCCUAAUGUCUGGAAAGCCUUGCAGAGGAGUGGAUUAGGUCUUUGUGAUAAACAGGCAGCCUUCCCUGCUCCUGUGUCUUUAUAAAAUCUAUUUAACUGGAGUAGUCCACCCUCCCUCAGGCUCUUACAGGAAUAUGUUGGAGGCUGUAGGAAGGUGGGAAACCGAGAGGGAAAGGACUGGGCCGCUGGAGACUUCACUCAUUCCCUAGCAAGAAACAAAAGCAGUAAAAGGUGGCCCGAGGACAACCUGAAGCUCACUCCUUCAGCACUUUUGGCUGGAGGUCACUUGUUGGAGCCCCACUCAGAGCUCAGCACACCACCCCACCAGCAGCCUCCUCCUCCCAGCUGAGGCUGCAUUUCAUCCCUUCCCCCAGCCUGCUUUCCCUGAGAUAGGGGAGUGUUUCCCAGGGCCCAUGUGACUUCCACUGGCAAGUGACGAUUACCAAUGGUUUACUAGUCAGUGAAACUACCAAAGGCUUUUGUGCUGUAGUAAUCCUUUUCCUGUUUAAAACUCUGGGGAUUUUCUAAUGUUGCCAAUAGUUUUUCAAGUCAGCAAUUACUGUGUGGAUUAUGUAAUGGCUCGGUAUUAAAAA
ensembl:lncRNA PCBP1-AS1 PCBP1 antisense RNA 1